GUACUCACUUUGGUAGCACUUAUACUAAAAUUGCAGCGAUACAGAGAAGAUUAGCAUGGCCACUGUGCAAGGAUGACAUGCAGAUUUGUGAAGCGUUCCAUGUUUUU